GUAGGUGGCAAGCGUUGUCCGGAAUUAUUGGGCGUAAAGCGCGCGCAGGUGGUUCUUUAAGUCUGAUGUGGAAGCCCCCGGCUCAACCGGGGAGGGUCAUUGGAAACUGGGGAACUUGAGUGCAGGAGAGGAAAGUGGAAUUCCACGUGUAGCGGUGAAAUGCGUAGAUAUGUGGAGGAACACCAGUGGCGAAGGCGACUUUCUGGCCUGUAACUGACACUGAGGCGCGUAAGCGUGGGGAGCAAACAGGGAUUAGAUACCCAGGUAGUCCACGCCGUAAACGAUGAGUGCUAAGUGUUGGGGGGGUUUCCCGCCCCUCAGUGCUGCAGCUAACGCAUUAAGCACUCCGCCUGGGGAGUACGGUCGCAAGACUG
rnacentral:rRNA from 1 species